CAACUAAAUUGGUGUGGGAGAGGAAAUAAAACCAGUAUUAAAUCCAGACCUGUAGCUGAAAUGCUAAUAUCAUCAGUGCACAAAAACAAUAACAGUGUCACCGAGUCGGAUGUGGAGAAGGAGGUAAAAAACUGGCUCCGAUUGAGCAGGGACCGGUUGGAUGGCUGCCGUCGACAGCGGAGGACCCAAACAACUAGAAGAGAGGAGAGAGGGCUGCCAGCUUGCAGUGACUGAGGAUGGACAGAGGC